GUCCUUGACUUGCAGCACGCAAUGAACCCAAAACCACCUCCCGGAGCGACUUUGUAGCUUUAACAGAGCGGUGGUAGAUCGCUCCUGAUCGGACUGGAUGACUAAAAUCAAAUUAAGAGACAGCAAUUUAGAAUAGAAAGAGGCAGUCCUUAUAGAGUCCCAGUGAAGUAGAUUGUACCACGACACGUUGAUCAGCUCGGCGCGCGUAUAUUCCAGAUGACUUUCCGCACUGCGAAAGAAGAAAUCUCCAGGAAAACAGGACAUUGGAAACAAUUUAACUUUUCUGAACUUAGUAUCGGCGAAUUAUACGUUACGUUUUGUCGAUGUGCAGGUACUUCAUGUCCAUCGAGUGAAUCGUCGUGAAGAUAUUCGUCGCGCCCUGGACGAUGCUCUCUCGCGUCUCCGGCAGGACUACCGGGGUGCAGGACGCCAGGAAGACAAACUCGUUGCGAUUGCAGACGGGAACGAACGGCAGGAAGUGACCCUCCACGAGAAUUACCUGCGGCAAUUAGAAGCGAAUAAUGCGCGGUAUCUGCGUGAAUAACAUCUCGAAGCUAAUCGUCAGCUUUUAAUCACCUUUUGAUCGCCAAACCGCAGCUGUCUCCGAGAAUUCCUCGACACAUUGAUUCGACAAAGGAACAGUCUCCUGUCGCUGGGUAUGGGACUGUUACGGGAUAACUGAUUUUGCACGACCAUGUGAUCCUGCUUGUCGAUCACAUCGUACACGCUGUCCCCGUGAAUAAGCAAAUCCUCCUGAAAAUCUCUCGUCUUAUCACAAUUCGCGAUACAUUCACGAAGACGAUUAUUAUUUACGUUAUAUUUUUGUAAAAUUACUGUACCAUAGAAUGCCCGAGAUAAUCUGCCGCAUUUUCUGAUAUAUAUAAUAAUUUUCCCUGCUGUGUCAUCAUCAUAAUAAAGCCAGACAUUGCCUGGAAAAGAGGCAUGGUUUGUAUCCCGAAGAUUUAUGAUAAACGGCAAGUGUAAAAAACAUAAUCACGCGUAAAAAUAAUAAUAAGCAAUUAAUACAAAUGGAUUUAAAAUAAUUACUUUUGAGAAUCCAAUAUUGGGCGUUGGAAUAUUUGAGGACUCGGGCGGGCAGUUUUUCAAUGCUGAAAUGAAAGAAAUAAAAAAAAUCAAGGUUGCCGAGUUAAAAAAUGAUGUUUAAAAGAACAAAUAAAUGCUAUAGAUAUGUUUUAUUAUAAUAUUUGUUGAAGGAACAAAACAUAUUGCGUCUAGCAAAAAAAAAA